CGGGGUGAGUAACGCGUGAGUAACCUGCCUUUCAGAGGGGGAUAACGUUCUGAAAAGAACGCUAAUACCGCAUAACAUCAAUUUAUCGCAUGAUAGGUUGAUCAAAGGAGCAAUCCGCUGGAAGAUGGACUCGCGUCCGAUUAGCUAGUUGGCGGGGUAACGGCCCACCAAAGCGACGAUCGGUAGCCGGACUGAGAGGUUGAACGGCCACAUUGGGACUGAGACACGGCCCAG
rnacentral:rRNA from 1 species